AUUGAACGCUGGCGGCAGGCCUAACACAUGCAAGUCGAGCGAGCGGCGGACGGGUGAAUAAUGUCUGGGAAACUGCCCGAUGGAGGGGGAUAACUACUGGAAACGGUAGCUAAUACCGCAUACCAUCGGAUGUGCCCAGAUGGGAUUCGCUUGUAGGUGAGGUAACGGCUCACCUAGGCGACGAUCCCUAGCUGGUCUGAGAGGAUGACCAGCAACACUGGAACUGGGACACGGUCCAGACUCCUACGGGAGGCAGCAGGGGGGAAUAUUGCACAAUGGGCGCAAGCCUAAUGCAGCCAUGCCGCGUGUAGGAGGAGGGCCUUCGGGUUGUAAAGUACUUUCAGCGGGGAGGCGUUACCCGCAGAAGAAGCACCGGCUAACUCCGUGCCAGCCGCCGCGGUAAUUC
rnacentral:rRNA from 1 species